rnacentral:rRNA from 1 species
UACAUGGGGUGCAAACGUUGCUCGGAAUUAUUGGGCGUAAAGCGCACGUAGGCGGUUUGUUAAGUCGGAUGUGAAAUCCCUCGGCUCAACUGAGGAAGUGCAUCCGAAACUGGCAGGCUUGAGUACUAAAGAGGGUCGCGGAAUUCCCGGUGUAGAGGUGAAAUUCGUAGAUAUCAGGAGGAACACCAGUGGCGAAGGCGGCUUCUGGACCGGUAU